rnacentral:rRNA from 1 species
AUUGAACGCUGGCGGCAGGCCUAACACAUGCAAGUCGAACGAGUGGCGGACGGGUGAGUAAUGUGUGGGAAAAAGCCCGAGGGAGGGGGAUAAAUAUUGGAAAAGGUGUCUAAUACCGCAUACGCUCGCAUGUGUCCAGAGGGGAUUCGAUUGUAGGUGGGGUAACGGCGAACCUAGGCGACGAUCCCUAGCUGGGCUGAGAGGAUGACCAGCAACACUGGAACUGAGACACGGUCCAGACUCCUACGUGAGGCAGCAGUGGGGAAUAUUGCACAAUGGGCGCAAGCCUGAUGCAGCCAUGCCGCGUGUAUGAAGAAGGCCUUCGGGUUGUAAAGUACUUUCAGCGGGGAGGCGUUACCCGCAGAAGAAGCACCGGCUAACUCCGUGCCAGCAGCCGCGGUAAUUC